UAAAACCAGCACCUCAAGUGGUCAGGAUGAUUAUUGGACCUAAAGCAUCCGUAGCCGGCUCUGUAAGUUUUCGGUUAAAUCUGUACGCUUAACGUACAGGCUGCCGGGAAUACUGCAGAACUAGGGAGUGGGAGAGGUAGACGGUACUCGGUAGGAAGGGGUAAAAUCCUUUGAUCUAUCGAUGACCACCUGUGGCGAAGGCGGUCUACCAGAACAUGUCCGACGGUGAGGGAUGAAAGCUGGGGGAGCAAACCGGAUUAGAUACCCGGGUAGUCCCAGCUGUAAACUAUGCAAACUCAGUGAUGCGUUGGCUUGUGGCCAACGCAGUGCUGCAGGGAAGCCGUUAAGUUUGCCGCCUGGGAAGUACGUACGCAAGUAUG
rnacentral:rRNA from 1 species